rnacentral:rRNA from 1 species
UUGCUUCCAUGAUUCAGCGGCGGACGGGUGAGUAAUGCCUAGGAAUCUGCCUGGUAGUGGGGGAUAACGUUUCGAAAGGAACGCUAAUACCGCAUACGUCCUACGGGAGAAAGUGGGGGAUCUUCGGACCUCACGCUAUCAGAUGAGCCUAGGUCGGAUUAGCUAGUUGGUGGGGUAAUGGCCCACCAAGGCGACGAUCCGUAACUGGUCUGAGAGGAUGAUCAGUCACACUGGAACUGAGACACGGUCCAGACUCCUACGGGAGGCAGCAGUGGGGAAUAUUGGACAAUGGGCGAAAGCCUGAUCCAGCCAUGCCGCGUGUGUGAAGAAGGUCUUCGGAUUGUAAAGCACUUUAAGUUGGGAGGAAGGGCAGUAAGUUAAUACCUUGCUGUUUUGACGUUACCAACAGAAUAAGCACCGGCUAACUUCGUGCCAGCAGCCGCGGUAAUACGAAGGGUGCAAGCGUUAAUCGGAAUUACUGGGCGUAAAGCGCGCGUAGGUGGUUCAGCAAGUUGGAUGUGAAAGCCCCGGGC